UGCGCCAGUAUAUACUCAUUCAAGUAUAGACGACUGUAACAUAUUGUUGAUAACGCUGGUUUUUGAUCAGUUUCAAUUAAACUUGAAAGGACCACUGCUGAAGACACACACGAAGAUCAAUAGGCUAUUUGGAAAUUGCAACGGUCAACUCUGACAAAAUAAAGAUCGUGAUUGUUUUUGUAGUUUUACUGACAGUUGGGAUAGACUGCGGAUUGAAGAAGUUGGUGCGAAAUAAUCCAACUAAAAGAUGUCCGGGAGAUUUGCAAUGGUUCUCCUGCGGUUCCGCGUGUCCGCAGGUUUGCGGGAAAGAGGAACAACUGUUCUGCUACAUGAUGUGUGUCCCUGGCUGUGCUUGCCCCCGGGACAAGAAAAUCAGGGUCAGCGAGACCAGCACCCAGUGUGUGAAGAGUAGGGAGGACUGUCCACAGUGAAAUGGCAAUCAAUAUUGUCUCAAUAUUCUGUCACCAAGUAUGAUUUUAAUUAAAUGAA